AGCCUAGGUAUAGGGGGUAGUGCCUAGGUCCUGCCUCUGAAAGACCCCCAGAGUGGGGAGGCCCUCACUCAAGUCUUGGGAUAAGUCGAUGCCCCAAUAAGUCAAGAAAGACC
rnacentral:pre_miRNA from 11 species